UCGCCGUUGAGCGCCAUGGCUUCAGCGGUCAGGUUUUCCGUCGUUUCUAGAUUUCGAUUCGUCUGUUAGGGCUCGGUUUAUUCCUGCGAUAUUGAUGAUUUAUUUCGAUGGAUUACGUUUGUUAUCGGUGUGUGAUUUUAGGGUUUGGAUUCUUGGCGAUGGGGAUUUUUCUUGCCAGGUUAAAAUUUUUGAUCUAACGAUGCUUGAAGGUUGAAUUUCCUUAUAUAUUUCAAUUUUUUGGAUUGCGUUUCCGGUUUUGAUUCAUCUGUUUGGGAUUGAUUGAUUGAUUCUGCGUUCGUAGUGCUGUCGGUGUGUUUCUAGGGUUUGGUGGCUGGAUUCGUGGCAAUCGCCUCAUUCUAACAGGUUUAAUAAAGUUUGGAUCUGUCGGUGUGUUUCUAGGGUUUGUUGGCUGGAUUCGUGGCAAUCGCCUCUUUCUAACAGGUUUAAUAACGUUUGGAUCUGAUUAUUUUUCAAAGGUUGCGAAUUCCCAAUCGAAUUUUGUGGAUAUUGAUGGAUUUUGAUAUCUCAUCUUAAAUCUGUUGAUCUGCUUUUGGGUUUUUUGAUUUGGUGUGGUGGUUCCAGGGCGUUUUGGAUUCAAUAACUGGUUCAGCUAGGAGUUCGAUUUGAAGAUUCUCUAUUUACCCUGGGUUUUUGCGUAUCUUCUGUUACCUCAUUGAAGUUUAUGAAAUGAUGAUUUAGUUUAGAAAUUUUGAUCCCCAUCCCAUAUAUGUCCGAAUAAAUGGAGCUUUGUUGUUAACUUUCAGGCAUGGAUUGCGGGUUUCAGUCGCAUAGAUGUCUUAAGACUCGAGCGGUUAGGUAUUGUAUUUGGCUAAUGUUUUGAUGGCGUUCUUGUGUGAUUGCUCUGUGGUUGGGUUUGUACUCCUGUUUUCGCGAUAAAAAUCUUUUGAUGCCUCCCUUUCUUCUUAAAUGUUUAUUUUCCUCCUCUCUCAUUCAAAAAUCGUUCUAAAUUUUAUUACCUUCUAUUGGCAGAUACUAAAUUGGGAAUUUGUACGGUAUUAUCAAGCUGGCAUUAUUUUACACGUAAAUUGGGAAUAUGUUCAAAUCGGGUUUAAUGUCCUCAAUAUUGAUUAUUUCCAUUCAAUUCUGCAUCUUUUUGCAGUCGCUCGUUUUCAGAUCUUUUUAUUUCUUUCCUCAGAUUUAUUUUCCUAUCUCAGAAAAUGUUUGGCCUACGUUUAUUUUUGUUUAGCAGCUACUUUUUAAUUUUUAUUCCUAAAUAAAUAUUGGCUAUUAUGUAUUUUAAGGCUUCUUGCCCACAGCUUUUGUUUUAUAGUUCUAAGAGUCUUGAAGGUUUCGUUUUUUGUUUAGCAGCGUCUUAUGCAAAUGCGUUCUAAUUCUUCUUAGCCAGUCACAGCUAAGAUUUUUUGUAGAUGAAAAAUGUUUCAGGGAGCUGGAGGUGUCUCGGUUUGUUUAUGCACCCUGCUUGGCUUCUUGUUUCUGUUAAAUGUCCAUUACAUUCGAUUGCUGUGUUGUCCUGCCCUUGAUGUUUAGUGCAGAUUCAUCAACAGGGUUCUAACUUCACUCUAUGAGUGGGCACUUAAAGAAGGGGUUUCUCUUGGCUUUUGAUUCUUUUUUUUUUUGUAUUUUAGAGCGUAUAGGUUUUGUGCCACAAUCUGAGCAGUUCUUUUGUCUGCAGACACAUUUUAUUCUUGUUGAGGGAGAGCUGGGUGUUUCAAAGAUGGGGUUUGAGUGGUUCUGAGUGUGAUUUAACUUUUAUGAAUUUGAGCCAUUGUUAUAUCAAUGAUCUUAUUAAAAAAAUUUCUGGUUACAGUUUCGCUGGGUCGAGGAAAAUGGCUGCCUGAUUUAAAGGGGGUUUGUUUCUUUGCUUAUGUUUUAACUGUAUUCUUAGGGCUUAUGAGAUCUAGCACCAUUAUUUGUGGAAUAUUCUUUGCAGAUGAUGUAUCUUGUUUGUUUAUGAAGUCUAAUCUUGUUGGAGCAGAACAUGCUGGUUUGGAGGGGGUCUAAGUGCUUUCUUGCUUUUUAAUUGAAUACUCAUUCAUUUGAUUUGUUUGGUCCUACGUUUGUGUCUACCCAUUCUUGUUUGUAUGCAGAUGUGGGUCGAAGUGCACCUUGUUAGGAUUCUACAGUUUGGGAGCUUUGUGUGGCUUGGUUUGUUUAUUCACCCUGAUUGGCUUCUUGUUUCUGUUAAAUGACCAUUACAUUCGAUUUCUGUGCUGUCCUUCCUUUGGUGUCUUAUGCAGAUGCAUAGCUGAGUCCUAACUCUAUCCAUCCCUAGUAAAGAGUGUCGGAGUUUCACUUCUUUAAAACAUGAGCGGGCAGAAUUUUAAUAGGGGGUUCCUCUUGGCUUAUGAUUCUAUUUUUGUAUUUUAGAGCGAAUGGAUCUUGCCAUAAUCUGAGCAAUGUUUCCUUAUGCAGACACAUUCUAAUCUUUUUGGAAGGAGAACAUGCUGCUUCAAAGCGGGGGUUUGAGUGGUUUUCGAUUGAUUUAAUUUUAUGUGAUUUUGAAACAUUAUUUGAACAAUGAUCUUUUCAAAUAUUUUCUGGCUAUGCAGUUUCCCUCAGUUGAAGGAAAAUGGCUGCCUGAUUUAAAAGGGGGGUUUCUUGGCAUAUGUUUCAAUCUCUUGGCUUAUGAUUCUAUUUUUGUAUUUUAGAGCGUAUGGAUCUUGCCAUAAUCUGUGCAAUGCUUCCUUAUGCAGACACAUUCUAAUCUUUUUGGAAGGAGAACAUGCUGCUUCAAAGCGGGGGUUUGAGUGGUUUUCGAUUGAUUUAAUUUUAUGUGAUUUUGAAACAUUAUUUGAACAAUGAUCUUUUCAAAUAUUUUCUGGCUAUGCAGUUUCCCUCAGCUGAAGGAAAAUGGCUGCCUGAUUUAAAAGGGGGUUUCUUGGCAUAUAUUUCAAUCUCUUGGCUUAUGAUUCUAUUUUUGUAUUUUAGAGCGUAUGGAUCUUGCCAUAAUCUGUGCAAUGCUUCCUUAUGCAGACACAUUCUAAUCUUUUUGGAAGGAGAACAUGCUGCUUCAAAGCGGGGGUUUGAGUGGUUUUUCGAUUGAUUUAAUUUUAUGUGAUUUUGAAACAUUAUUUGAACAAUGAUCUUUUCAAAUAUUUUCUGGCUAUGCAGUUUCCCUCAGUUGAAGGAAAAUGGCUGCCUGAUUUAAAAGGGGGUUUCUUGGCAUAUGUUUCAAUCUCUUGGCUUAUGAUUCUAUUUUUGUAUUUUAGAGCGUAUGGAUCUUGCCAUAAUCUGAGCAAUGCUUCCUUAUGCAGACACAUUCUAAUCUUUUUGGAAGGAGAACAUGCUGCUUCAAAGCGGGGGUUUGAGUGGUUUUCGAUUGAUUUAAUUUUAUGUGAUUUUGAAACAUUAUUUGAACAAUGAUCUUUUCAAAUAUUUUCUGGCUAUGCAGUUUCCCUCGGUUGAAGGAAAAUGGCUGCCUGAUAUAAAAGGGGGUUUCUUGGCAUAUGUUUCAAUCUCUGUUUUCUUAAUGGCUUAUGAGAUCUAGCACCAUUAUUUGUGGAAUUUUCGUUGCAGAUGAUAUACUUUAUGGAGUUGGCUUGUUGAAGCAGAACGUGUCGUUUUUAAGAGGGGUUUUAAGUGCUUCCUUGUUUUCGGUUGAAUUUUCUGUUCUUUGGCUUUUUCUGGUUCAUCGAUUUGUGUCUACCUAUUCUUGUUUGUAUGCAGAUGUGUUGAAGUGCAGCUAAUUAGGAGUUGAACAGUUUAAAGGAGAGCGGGUGUCCUUCUCUUAGGGGGUUCCAUUGUCUUCUGAUUAUAUUCUAUUUUCUUAGAGCGUAUAUUUUUGUGCCUUUAUUUGAGCAGAGCACUGUUUUUAUAUGCAGACAUAUUCCUACGCCUGUCUGUGUACGAGGUCCAUGCUUGUUAGCUCUGUUGUAGAACGGGCUGUUUCUAAGAUGGGGUUUGAGUGAUUAUUGGAUUAUGUAAUUUCUUAUUUUUGGUGGGUUAAUGUUACCUCCUACCAUUAUUUGAUCAGUGAUCGAUGUUUCAUAUCAGAUGCUACCUGAAUUUUUGGUCAUGAAAUCUCACUCAGUCGUUGAGCAAUUUGCUAUCUGCUUCGAAAGGGGGUUUGAUGUUUCUUGGUUUAUGCUUACCUUUCUUAUAUAUUGGAGGUUGUGAGACAUGGACCAUUAUUUGCGCAAUUUUCUGUGCAGAUGCGUUUUAGAGUUCGUAUGCGUAUGGAGUUUAACUUUGUUCAAGGAGAAAGGGGUGCUUUGAAGGGGGUUUCUUUUGAAUCUGUUUUAAAUUUCUAUAUGUCGACUCUGUAUGUGAUUCUACGCCUUGAUUUGAGCAACGCUUCUGUAUGCAGACAUUCUCUCUCUUGUCCAUAUAUGGCAACCACCGUGGAAGGAGCAGUUUGAAUAUGGGGGUUUGAGUAGUUCUUGGGUUAUUAUUUUGUUUCUUAUUCCUUUGGGUUGACGGGAGCUGAAAUAAUCAUUGCAACAAUGUUUCAUGCAGUUACAUUCCAGAUAGUCUAUUUAAGAAGUCUGUUGGAUGGAUUGGCCGACUGCUUUUGAAAAGGGGGUUUGAUGCUUCUAAGCCUGUACUCUUGUAUUCAUUAGACUAAAUACUAUAUGCGAUCGUGGACUAUCAUUUGAGCAGUUAUUUGUGCAGAUGCCUUUGUCUUUUGUCUGUUUGUGUAGUCUUUACUUCAUUAUCGGAGAGCAGCCUGAGCAGGCAGCUUUUAAGAGGGGGUUUUUGGGCUUACGUUUAUCUUUUUACUUUCUAUUUUAUUUUUUUAUUAGUACGUAGCUUGUACCUUCCUUUGAGCAAUGGUUUUUGUAUGCAGACACGUCCGGACUCUAUUUUUGUGAAAGGAGAGCGGUGGAUUUUAACAGGGGUUACCUUAUGUUUUUGUUUUAAUUGUCCGUUAUUAGACUUUGUAUGCAAUCUUGCACCAUGAGUGGGCAUUGUUUCUGUAUGCAGACAUAUUGGCGAGCAUUGGAAGGAGGGCAGUCUGAAUGGGGGUUUGAGUUCGGUUUUGGAUGUUAUUUCUUACUCGUUUGGGUUUGAUGAGAUCUGGAACUAUUAUUGGAACAAUGUUUUAUGCAGGACCUAUUCCAAAAUAGUCUGUUUAUGAAGUCUCAGAGUGUUGGAUGGCAACGGGCUGCCUGUUUUAAAGAGGGGUUUAAUAUAUCUUAGCCUAUGUCUUGAUCUCCUAUUUCUUGUGUUUUGCGAUAUUGUUUGAGCAAUUAAUUAUGCAGACGCCUUUUUGUGUCGGAUGGAGUCCAACUCAUUAUAGGAGAGCAGCCAACUUUUGAGAGGGGGUCUUUGGCUUACGGUUUUUUUUUUUUUUUUCUUUUGUUGGCGUGAUAGAGAUAUUUUAUAGUUAUUUGAGCAAUGUUUUUUGUAUGCAGACACGUCCCCACAUUAGGUUGUAUGUGGUGUGCAAGUUUAGUGGGGGAGAAUGGGCUGCUUAUGAAAGGGGGUUUCCAUAGUUUGCCUUAUGAAUUUAUUUCAAGUUUUUUGUGAGUUUUGAGAUGCUGAACCAUUAUACUCACUGUUUAUUUGCAGAUGUGUCCCAAACUUUUCUUUUGCCUCACUCAGUUGAGUGAAAAAUGGGCUGCCUGCUUUUAGGACGAAGUCAGAUACCUUUUCCCUUUUUUGUUUGUUUGUAAUUUAUUUGCUCUUAUGAGACCUCUUAUGAUUUUCAUUUUUUCUUUCUUUGUUUAUAUAUAUAUUUGCUGUAUUAUUUGUGCGUACUUUUUGUAUGCAGAGACAUCCCAGCUUCUGUCUGUGCUCAGAAGGGGUGCGAAAUGCUUUUAGAAGGGGUUUGAGUUCUUGUCUUGUUACUUGAUUUCAUAUUGGUUUGGAUACCAUUGUCUUCCACGCUAAUGCAUUUGCAGACGUUUUUAGCUUGGAGUCUUUCAUGGGGGUCUACUUUAUGGAAUUGUCCUCACAUUCGGUUUGCUAUUCAUCUGUCAGCCGUCACUUUGUUCAUUAAAAGAUUUGUCUUCAUUGGGUUUACACUUAAUUGGCUUCAUUGUCUUUUGGCACUGGUUUACGCAUCUCAGCUUGGUUUAUGUUCAAAUGUUUCAGCUUGUGUGGAUGGUGGUACUCCCUAUUGUUUGACAAACGCUGAAUUUUGUUUGGUGACUUAAAAUUCUUCAUUCGGCAUUUUUUAUUUCAGCAACGCAUUAUUCAGUUAUCUUUAAACAUAGUUACAGAGGAUAGCGGUCUGCAGCUGAUUUUAAGUUGGAUGAUGGUUCUUUUCUUAUAUUUAGUUUUCCUGUAAAGCGCCGUAAGGUCUUUUUGGUUGGUGCUUCGCUUCAUUGAAUCCUAGAGGAGUAUGAGCUGCUUCUAAGAUGGAGUUUGUUACUUGAUGGCUUUUAUUUUCAAGAUGGCACUCUACGUGGACCGAAGUCAUGGAUUGUGGUUUUGUUUCAACAACUAUGUUUGUGUCGUGCUGUGGUCCUGUGCAGAAUAAUGUCAAGUCUCAUGGGGUUGGGCUGGAUUCAAUAUCUUCUACUUUCCUUGGCCAGAGAUUUCUUCCGGGAGUUGCUUUUAAUUUAAGAGGUUCAUGCUUUCUGUCCUAUCAAGUUAUCGUUUAAUUUGCCAUCUGUAAGAGUUCAUAAUAUCCAGGCAGCUAUGUAUGUCGAUGCAUUCCGCAAGGCAUUUGUUAGAAACUUAGAGGGGGUGUUUAACGUGCUUACUAUCUGGCAGCAGUGUUUGGGAUAUAUGAUUAUGCAUUGAGGAGCUUAUUUCUUUUUCUUGAAUGAGUAUCAUGUUGAAGUUGAUGGAACUGACCGUAGAAGAUGUUGUGGAGUCGGGUUUUAUCCUAUUCAGACUUUAUUAUUUCCCUGUUUCUCAUCGAUCAUCUCUUUAGUUUCCCUUAUGUACUUUGUCAUUAGUGUUGGUAUUACUUAUGCAGAUGUAACUUUGGUGAGGUCUUGCUUGAUUUCAAGUUUUGAUGAUGGAAAUAAAAGUGGUAUAAAUGUCCUUUUUCCCUUUUGUAUUGAAGUUUCGCAAUCUCGUAUCAUGAAUUUAUUAUCACUGUCCAAUUCAGUUUUUAUUUUUUUAUUUUUAUUUUUUAAAUCUGAUCCUCGUUUGGCUUUAGAUCCGGUUUAUUGUCGACGUGGAAGCUGUGCAGGUUGCAUUUUAAAAUUUAAUGCAACUGUCGUGAUUUUAUAUGUGCAAUGUCAUAGUGUUGCUGGAUUAAUAUUUUUAACUUAUUGAAAAUGGUGAAUAUUCUUAAUUGUGGGCUAAUUUGGAAAGCAGCUAAAUGAAGGGCAUCAAUUAUUUUAUAGUGUGGUGAUCUGUAUCUGCAAUUCGAAUAUAUUGCUUGGAAUAUAAUGCUAAAACAAGGGCAAAGCAUGUUAGCUGAAUGAAGGAAUUCUUAUAUCGAAUU
rnacentral:lncRNA from 1 species